GGGGUUGUGGCUCAGUGGCAGAGCACUUGCCUCACAUGUAUGAGACACUGAGUUCGAUCCUCAGCACCA
rnacentral:tRNA from 1 species